rnacentral:rRNA from 1 species
GGAUGAGCUGUGGAUCGGAGUGAAAGGCUAAUCAAGCCCGGAGAUAGCUGGUUCUCCUCGAAAUCUAUUUAGGUAGAGCGUCGUGUCUUACCCUGGGGGGUAGAGCACUGUUUGGGCUAGGGGGUCAUCCCGACUUACCAACCCCAUGCAAACUCCGAAUACCCAGGAGUACAAUCACGGCAGACAGACAGCGGGUGCUAACGUC